rnacentral:rRNA from 1 species
GUAAGGAAUAUUGGUCAAUGGGCGGAAGCCUGAACCAGCCAUGCCGCGUGCAGGACGACGGCCCUACGGGUUGUAAACUGCUUUUGCCCGGGAAUAACCCCCCGCUCUUGAGCGGGGCUGAACGUACCGGGAGAAUAAGGAUCGGCUAACUCCGUGCCAGCAGCCGCGGUAAUACGGAGGAUCCGAGCGUUAUCCGGAUUUAUUGGGUUUAAAGGGUUCGUAGGCGGCCUGUUAAGUCAGGGGUAAAAUACGGCAGCUCAACUGUCGCAGUGCCCUUGAUACUGACGGGCUUGAAUACCGGUGAAGGCGGCGGAAUGAGACAAGUAGCGGUGAAAUGUAUAGAUAUGUCUCAGAACCCCGAUUGCGAAGGCAGCUGCCUAACCGGCGAUUGACGCUGAUGCACGAAAGCGUGGGGAUCGAACAGGAUUAGAAACCCUAGUAGUCC